GUUGAUAUAAAGCAAACUUGGCCUCUGGUGCCUCUCUGACUGGUGCACCUGCUUCUACCUUACAUCUUCUGCCUUGAGAUGAUUCUUUCCAGACACCAGCAUUAUGCCUUUGGAUGUUCCAGCCUCCAGUAUUUCCUGGAGACUGGGAAGUCUAAGGUUGAGGAGCGCACAUCUGGCAAGGGCAUUCUUGCUGCAUCAUCCCAUGGCAGAAGGCAGAAGGGCAAGAGGGCACACAAGAGAGAGUGUGUGGAAGAGAGCCAAACUUAUCCAUUUAUCGGGAAUCUGCUUUUGUGGAGUAAAGGCCUCCAAAGUCUGAACGAAGAGCUCAUGAAUAUGGGGAAGUGGGUCUGCAUGAUGCAAAGAGGACUGUGGCUGCCAGAAAGAUGCUCUGCUAGGAUCUUCUAUCCAGAAAGAAUUUACUAUUUAGCUCCAAGGACUGCAGUUAGCUGACAACUUUUAGCUGUGAGUGCUUUAAAGAUCUACUUUAGUUUUUAAGCUGAAGUUAGGCUUCUCCUUCACAAUGCCCCCAGCCAGUUAUUGACUGUGAAAAGAUACUAGGGUAUGGAUAAAUAUCAAAAGAAUAGACUCCUCUCUGGGUGAUCUUUAUUCUGGAGCUCCAUUAGAUUGGCCAGACUUUGUCAAAUUUCUACUGUGGUCUGAAGCUCUCCUUGAAAAAUCCUGCUUCCUCUUCUUUUUCCUUCCAUAGGUAUCAAAUCUGUAUUAUUUUCUGUGGCCUUUCCCUGCCCAAUUCUGCUUCUCCCUCAGUUUACAUUUCAGUCAUUAUCCCUUCCUCAAUUUAUAUUUCAUAGUCAUUAUCCCCUUCCUUCCACACAAUAAUCUUCUUGUACUCCUAUCAUUGCCUCAGCCUCUGCUUCCCAGAACACCCAAGUGACACAAACUCCCUACCCCAGUUAUUACCACAGUUGAGCAUUCAAUCUGACAGCCACAGAAAUCAAUAUUCAACACUGGAUAUAGUUCUAUCCCUUGUGGAGAUCAAGCAGCCAUUUGGUCUGAAGUUGAUUAUGUUAGCCAUCUUCUGUCUUCGAAGAUGCAGUGAUUCAUCUUGACUGGAAUUGAUUCACAUUUUCAAUACGGAUUUGGCUUUCCUGCCUGCAAGGACUUAGCCAGUGCCAAUAUUCAAGGGAUUUCAUAGUGCUUGAUUCACCAAUAUGUGAUCCCACAUAGCAUCUCCCUGAAUCAAGGGACCCACAUUACAGCAAAGUUGCUAUGUCAAUAUGUACAUAAUCAUGAGGGUCACUGGGCCAGAUGAUAGUGCAUCAUUCAGAAGCUGCUGGAAUAAGAGAGAAAUUGAUUAGUCUGUUGGAGGUGCAGAUGAAGAACCAGCUUGGACAUUAGAUUCUGCAAAACUGGGGUAACACUUUUUGGGAUGUAGAAAUAUCAGUAUAUCGUUCUGUGUCUCUAAUAAUAGAAUAAAUGGGUCUCCAAAAAGGGGACAGAAGUUGGCAUAACCUUGCUUAUCAUCACCUUAGUGACCCACUUAGGUAAUUUGUGCUUCUUCUUCCCAUAAUUCUAGACUCUCUAGUCUAUAAAUUCUUGUUUAUAGAGGGGAAAUGCAUCUAAUUUGGGACAUAGUGAGACUCCCAUUAAACUUUAAGCGAUGACUCCUGCUCCUUCAGAUUUCUUCUUCCAAUAGACAAUCAGGCAAGGAAAGGAGUUAACCUGGCAGGGGUAAUUGAUUCUGAUCAUCAAGAUAUGCUAGGGAUGCUAUUACACAAUUUGGGCAGGGAGGAAUAUGCUUGGUAUCCAGGUGAUCUCUUGGAGCUUUUCUGGGUACUUCUUUGUCCGAUAUUGAUAAUCAAUGAACAAGUGCAGCAGCCAGUGCAUGAGAAUGGCAAGAUGACCAGGGAUAAAGGUCUAUAUCAUCUUACUCCAGUGCAUCAUAAUCACGAUGCCUAGACCAGUAGAGAUGCUGGCUGAGGGUGACUGUAAUCUGGAAUGGGUGGAAAAUUGAAGAGAUGAUAAGCAUUAGUUGUGACCUCGAGACUAGCUACAGCAAUGUUUCUUUUUAUUAACCUUCCACUUCUAAUUUUCCCCAUGAAAAGAGAUCAAUCAGAAUCCCAGAACAGCUGUGUUCUAGAUGAAGCAAAUUUGAUAUCACAUUGUUUAACUUAAUAACACAUCGUUCCAAGCAGGUCAAAUGGUGAACUGUAUUGCGUAUUGUAGUGUGUUAGAACCAUAUAUUCCCCUAGCCCAGCUUCUAAGAGUUUUGACUGCUGAGGGCUGGGAGCUGAGGUCUUCCUUAGGAACUUGGUUUGGCCAAAGGAAGCUGCUUUGCCCAUAGUUACUUCUCCUAUAAUGAAAAAGGGGAAAAGUGCAACAAAAAGCUGUAUUAUUCGCACUGCUUUGCCUCAUCCUCAAGUUUGGUGGAACUCUGCCAGCCACCAACACCUGGUAAAUUACAUCUCUUGAGCUUAUUUGAGCUACAUUCAUCUUCUGAAAUGAAUUGUGUUUCCAUAGGCAUGAUUGUUUUAAUAAAAGGAAAUAACAGAAUAAUGUUAGGGAUUCACUUAGCAAAUACAAUUAGCUAGAAACAUAACAGAAAUUAUCAUUGAGAGCUGAAACUAGGGUGAGGUGAGUGAGGCACUUCCCUCAGGUGUAAGAUUCAAGAGAAUCUCAGAAAACUCAAGGUGGGUAAUAUUUAAUGCAAUUUCACUAAGAGUAGAUUCUAAGUGUCUUCACAACAGAAAAUAAGUAUGCAUAUGUUGAUUAGGUAAAUUUAGCUAUUAUACAAUGUAUACAUAUUUUACUAUAUUUGAAAUAUGUAUAUAUUAUUCCUCAUGUUAUACAUAAUAAAUAUAAAAUGUGUCAAAAAUAAGUUGAAAAUUAAAAACAAUGCAAAACAACCAUGAUAAAUGAAAUAUCAAAAAUUUUUUUAAAAGAUCACUACUCAUGCUUUUUUGUUUAGCAUUUAACUCUAGCAUGUCUUGGCACAGCACUGUUGCCAUGCCAAGACAAUAUUAGGUUGUCUUGUUCACAUUUUGGAGGGGCUUAUUUUGUAAGGUCAUUAGGAUGAUAUUUAGAGGCUGGGAAGGGGAGUAAUUUGUGAAAUGAAUCCCGUGAUUGGAAAGACAUAACAUGCCACCUAAAGGUUCAUUACUUAUCACCUCAUUGGGGUUGGAGAAACAGUUUUUGAGAAUAUUUUAGACACAACUUUUAUUUUAGCAGAACAUUGGACUACAUGAAUUCUUCCUACUUUCAAAGUGCAUGACUUUUUAAAGCAUGUAUCAUUUAUUCUGUUAUAUUCAAAAUUAAAAAAAAUUUAAAUAAAAUGUUUUAAUCAGAUUGUUGUUUUAGUAUACAGACACUUUUCCUCAGGGAAAAGACAUUGUUAGGUUAUUAUUAUCCAAAAUGAUAAAGGCAGCAAGUCAUUUUUUAUUCAAAUACUAAUCUGAUGAAGGUUUAGAAGGUUCAGAGCAAUAGAAAACAGAAUAUUCAAAAUAAAUACAUUCUGGGGUCAUAAUGUAAGUGUUUUAUUUGUGGUAUCUAUCUUAUUAAUAAAUUAAAACUGAUUCUUACAUGAAUCAAAUAAUUUAAAAGGAUGCAAGUAAUUCACUGAGCAAAACUCUGCUUCAGGUCAGAUUUUCAGUCUUUGCAAAAUCCCGAAAAUGUGAUUUCUAUGUUCAUUACACUAAAACAAAGAAAACCCAUUAAAAUAAUGUUGCACUGACAAAUUAAAGUUUGUAUUUUAAUUUUCCCUGAUACCGUUAACAUUGUAGAUUAUUAAAACUAAAAUACUUUUAGAAAUCCAAUUUAUUUUCAUUCUUUAAGGUCAUUUUAUUUUUUUGUAUUCUUCUCAGGUUGGGAACUGAAUGAAGGCUGGUUUUUCUUUUUUGUUUUAAGCCUAUUUAUUUUCUGGUCUUCAUGCAGUAUAAUUGUUUUAUAAACAAAGUUGGAAAAGAGUUUAAAUGAACAUUUCCAUAAUAAUGUUUAAAAAUGUUCAGGAACAUUUUUUUUCAAAUUGUUCUAAAAAAUAUUCACUGAGUUCUUCCAUUAAUUUGCCUAAAAAUUACAAUAAAAUAACAAUAAAUAAUAUUUAUGACUAUGAGCCACCUGAAGUUUGAAAUAUAAUAAACUCUCACUGUCAAAGAGAAAUGUCAGCUUUAAAAUAGUAAUGACUUGUAAAGUGAGAGGCCAUGCAUGUAAUGGUAUUUAAAGAUCUUAGGUGACUCAUAUUUCUAAUUAUUCAUAAAAACAUUCAUGUUGUGAUGUGGAAUAUUUUUGGGGGCAUUAAAAGUAAUAUUAAAGCAAAUUACAUAAUAUAGAAAAGUAUAGGCCAGGCGCAGUGCUCAUGCCUGUAAUCCCAGCACUUUGGGAGGCCGAGACGGGCAGAUCACGCGGUCAGGAGGUUGAGACCAUCCUGGCUAACACGGUGAAACUCCGUCUCUACUAAAAAUACAAAAAAAUUAGCCGGGCUUGGUGGCAGGUGACUGUAGUCCCAGUUAC
rnacentral:lncRNA from 1 species